GACGGGCUGGCGAAUCAGGCCGUUGCGCUGGAUCGAGGCUCCUAUCUAGAAACGGCUUCUCUCGUCUCACGUGUUCAGCUUGUUUCCAUCUGAUCUACGGAAUGAGCUGUGCUGACGUCCCACCCCACUCCAACCCGGGAACUGUCGGGAAAUUAAAAAUGGUGGUACCCUAUCCAGGACUCGAACACCGGUCCUCCUGAAAAAAAAAAGCCCAAAUGCACCCCCUUAACACAAUUAGACCACCAGAGGCACCUGAAAUUGGCAGUAGCCAAUAUGAAUGCAGCGUCCGAUCACAAUGGGGAUAUAAGGCGAGCCCAGCAGCUCUGCAGCCUCAGUCAGUCAGUCAGUCAGUCACCAUUAAGUGCCAGCCAAGAUCGUCCAGCGCUGCCCAGUCGCAGCAGUAGCAGCAGAAUAGGAAGAAGCUAUGGAAGAUGAAUCCGACUUCCUCCAGCCUGUUGGAGUCUGCAACACCGACAUGUCCCAACCCUUCAGGACCUGCAGCACCUGGUCAGCUUUGUGGAGCAGGACGGUCAGCUUUUAUUAUUGGUUGAGGACAUCCAGCCAACCCCUGACUCGCUGAAGUGCACUGGGGGUCCCAAUCAGCAUGACGCAGGUCGGUACUGGACCACAUCAUACGCACCAUCGCAGAAUAUUCCAGUGAUACUGCAUGGACAAAGUGAGGGUGUAAUGGAUGAGAAGAUACCAAUUAAGCCCUGUGCACCAGUACUGUUUACUUCAGUGUAUAGUUUAACCGCUAGUCUUUCGAAGUGUUUACAUACUGGUAUAGAAGCAACCGCAGACAGAGACUGGCUUGUUGUGAUAGAGAUCUAUAAUGCAGCUAGAAGUGGUAAAGUGCAGUUUACAGAGGUGGUUCAAAUGGCUCUGAGCACUAUGGACUUAACAUCUGUGGUCAUCACUCCCCUAGAAUUUAGAACUACUUAAACCUAACUAACCUAUGGACAUCACACACAUCCAUGCCCGAGGCAGGAUUCGAACCUGCGACCGUAGUGGUCGCGCGGUUCCAGACUGAAGCGCCUAGAACCGCUCGGCCACACCGGCCGGCUUACAGAGGUGGAAUGGGAUGAACUGUGUCGUGCAAAAGUCUACAUCAAGCAGAAGUUGACCGCUGAGUAUCAUCCUAGCCGUCUCCCUCCAGAAAUUUACUGUGCUACUCUAACUGUCCGUUAUAACACUGUACAAUGACUCAGCACUCCUUGUGAAAUCAGGUGAUGCCUACAUUUAUCUACAGCACUGCACUGGUAAAAACGUGUUCGGUAUACAGAUGGUGUUAUCUAUUGCGUUGGAAAGAUUGAACACAUGGCUGCCUUGUGUUGAAGUUCUGUAUAGAGAAGUUGCAGAGUAUCUAAGUACGAACUGUGUGCAUGUAAACUGUAUUGAACAAUGGGUCAGUGUGAUGCCAAUGAAAACUAAUGUACUGCUAGUAUGUUUAAUAGAAAUACAUGCUGAAUUCUGUGCUUAUAAGACGGCUUUAUUUUCUAAGUUCUGUACUGGCGAGAAUCUGGUGAUG